AUGAGUUCCUGCCUUUCCCAUAUCAUCAAAGAUCAUUCCUUGGAUUUUGUUUGUUUGCAAGAAACCCAUAAGAAGAGUUUCCAAGAUAGCUACUUUAGGAAGAUUGAUCCUUACAAUGCUUUUGAGUGGGAGUGGACCCCAUCUGUUGGGAGAUCUGGUGGUAUUUUGUGUGGGGUCAGGAAAGAAAGGUUUGAGGUUAUAGCAUGGAGAAAAGGCAAGUUCAUUCUUCAGGUUUCUAUUUAUGACAUCAAAGUUAAGAAAGUGUGGACCUUGUGCACUGUUUAUGGGGUAGCCCAUGACUGUGACAAGUAGGAUUUUCUCACUGAGCUAGCUGAUUUUUGUACUCAUGUGCAAACACCUCUGCUAGUAGGGGGAUUUUAA
rnacentral:rRNA from 1 species